GCCUCAUUGGCUCAGGAACAGAGCGUCUGUCUUGUAAACAGGUUUUUGUAAACAGAAGGUCGCUGAUUCGAUUCCAGCAUGAGGCA
rnacentral:tRNA from 1 species